rnacentral:rRNA from 1 species
AGCAGUAGCCACGGGAAUACGUAGGUGGCAAGCGCUGUCCGGAAUUAUUGGGCGUAAAGGGCUCGCAGGCGGUUUCUUAAGUCUGAUGUGAAAGCCCCCGGCUCAACCGGGGAGGGUCAUUGGAAACUGGGAAACUUGAGUGCAGAAGAGGAGAGUGGAAUUCCACGUGUAGCGGUGAAAUGCGUAGAGAUGUGGAGGAACACCAGUGGCGAAGGCGACUCUCUGGUCUGUAACUGACGCUGAGGAGCGAAAGCGUGGGGAGCGAACAGGAUUAGAUACCCCUGUAGUCCCUGUCUCUUAUAC